rnacentral:lncRNA from 1 species
AUUAAAGAUGUCUUUAGCUGCAAUUCUACUACAAAAUGUAUGCAAGUAUUUAGUGAAUGAAUGAAUUAAUUAAUCUGUCCAUGUGUGUGUGUGUGGAUGUGUAUGUGUUACUCGAAAGACACCUGUUGUUAUGUCCUGUUAUUAUUUUUAUUGUAUUUGUGUAACUUUGUCCAUUUUUUUCCGUCCUUGUUUUUGUAUACAUUCACUGCUUUCUUCCAGGGAAUCUAAUGCUCUUAGCUUAGUUUUUCCUUGGAGCUGGCCAGAUUGGAGCAAUUUUGAGUAUAAUCAGCCGAAAUUGCAAAGAUAAUCUGGUACUCAACUGAGGAAAGAAAACUUCGAAUGACCCGUCCUUGGUUUCUUUGUAUCGUCUAUCUGGAUAUUUUGUUGUCUUAUUUUUGUAUCACCUAACUGUCUGGAUGUUUUGUGUUCUUGUCCCAUUUUGUAUUUUUUAUAUGUAUACAUAUCUAUCCAUCUCUACCAAUCCAACUAGCCAUAUGUGGAUCCAUCUAUCAAACUAUCUAUUAGUACUUUUGCAUUUUGAAAACCUCUUUGAAAGUGAUGAGAAGUAGCUUCUCUAUUAUCAUGUCUUCAUGGAAAUAAUAAUGUGUUGCACCCUGCAAAUGUGGAUAAUGCAGCUCUACGCCAGUUAUGCUCUGUGUUUGUGAAGAAGGAAAGGCAAAAAUAAGAAUGCUCUUACCUCUAAACAAAAUCACAUCAGAAUAUUCAGCUUUGCUUCAGAAGGAUCAGCAGAAUGUGUUGGUUGCACCUACAUGUGUACACUUCCCCAACAUCUGGCCAGAAACUACUCUCCCUCUGAGAUCCCUUCUACACAUCUGUUCACCUCAACAUCUUGAUAAAGAAAGAGGAUGUUCAAAUGCCCUGAUUCUUGAUGUACUGUUACUUCCACUCAUUUUUGGUCCUGAUGUCUCCUCUAACUCUCUCCACAGUUCGGUUGGAUAUGAAGUUUGUUGCCUAUCAUAAAGUUUUAAAUCAAACUGAAACAUUCAUGCAGAAAAAUAUUGUUGCAUUGCACAAAAAUUUGCAGAAAAUGUACUUAUCAUUGGUCAGUCAUAAAGGGAUGUUGCUCUUACAUGAGAAAUCAGUGCCACAUAUUGCCUAAGUCACUCAGGGAAAAAUCAUGGCACUAAAUAUGAAAAAUUUUAUUUCAUCCUCCUUGCUCUCCUGAUUUUCAUAUAUCUGACUAUCAUCUUUUCAUAUCAUUGCAAUAUUAUUUAGAGAGAAGAGUUUACUAUUUGUGAAGAGCUUAAAAAUUAUACUGCUUCUUUACUUCAUAAUAUGAAGAAUGCUAUGUGUGAGGGAUCACCAAUUUGCCAAAUAGAUGCGAUUUAAGUCAUCAAUAGUAAGGGGAACUAUUUUCUUGAUUAUCAGUUAAGACCAAAGAAGCAUUCAUUUCUUUUCUUUCCUGAAAUGCCUCCGCACUUUCUUGUGAACCUAAUGUCUCUCUCUAUGUGAGAGUGGGUGUCUAUGUAUUUAUAAAUGUGAAUGUAUGUAAGUAUCUCUCUCUCUCUAUGUGUGUGUAUAAUCAUCAUUUAAUGUCCAUCUUUCAUGCUGGAUUAGGUCAUGAAAGUUACUGAGAGAGUUAUAGCCCAAUUGAUUAGAAAUAGAAUUAAACUAGAUGAGAUGCAGUUUGAUUUUUGUCUGGGAAGAGUACCACAGAUGCCAUCUUCUUUGUGAUACAGCUGCAGAAGUAUUUGGCCAAAAGUAUACCAUUGUCUCAAUGACUGAAACCGGUACUAAAAUGUUUUUUAUGAUAAAAUUAUUUUAGCAUUUUCUACCUUGACUUUUUUUCCUUAUAUAUAUAUAUAAGUAUAUGAUUUAACUUCUAAAACAAAGUUCAAUCAUAUUUUUCAUAAAUGGAGGAGAUUACAUGUUAAUAUGGAUUGAAAUUAUUUUUAUUCAUGUAGCUAUUUGAUCGUUUCAUUCAGAAAGGCAAUAAAUUCGUUUUAAGAAUCUGGGUUGGCAAAAUGUCACUUUUCAAAAAAUUGUUUGAAUUUCUUUUUAUCAUUGUCUUGCGAGAAAGAGGGUGUGUGUGUGGGGUCUGUGUAUCUGAAAGGAGUGUCAAUGGAAAAAGGAAGGAGGAGAGAAAGAAGAAAAAAAAUGUGUUUACAUCUUUGUAGUUGGUCAGUCUUUCAAUAGUAAAUGAUUCUUGGCUUUUAGAAAUGGCAAACCCAGCUGGUCAGUCUUCCAAUAGUAAAUGAUUCUUGGCUUUUAGAAAUGGCAAACCCAGCUGGUCACUUCAAGAGAGGGGGGGGGGGGCAAAUGUCACUUGUCAGCGAUUUGGCUGGAUUUCUUUUUAUCAUUGUUUUGUGAGAGAGAGUAUGUGUGUGUGUAUCUGAAAGGAGUGUCAAUGGAAAAGAGAAGGGAAGAAAAAAUUGUGUUGACAUCUAUACCGCUGUUCAGUUCUUUCAAUCCAAUGUUUGAUUCCUGUGCUGACAUGGGUUGGAGAAUCUGGAUGAAAGAUUGUUUUUAUUUGUGUAUAUGUACAUAUGUAUAGUACUGUGUGUGUUUAAUACAAUUUACUUUACAAAAUUGGUCCUUCAUCUAGUACAAAUUAUUAUAGAAAUAUUUUCAGCCAUCCAAUAUUGAAUUUCUUGUAACAAAGUCACAAUUUCCAAGUAUAUUAUAAAAGACUCCAUAGAGUUAAAACAUGAUUGUUAAAAGUUUCCAGUUACAAUAAAGAAGUUGUCAAUUGUUGAUGAAGUAGUCUGCAAAAGACUCUCAUAACAACGUCCAUUCUGGUCAUAUACCAAUCUUGGUUGCUGAAUAUAUGCAGAAACAAUUGCUGCUGCCAAGUUGUCUAUAACUAAUCUCAUUUUUAAUUAUCCUAUCACACACCCAGACUAUCUCAAUGACUUCAUCCAUUUCUCAGGAAAUACUCCAUCCCACACCCAAUCUCCGUACUUCUCUCACAGAAGAAUUAUCGUGCUUUUUCUUUCCUGUGAGGAGUUUAUCUGGGACUACCUUCCAUCUUUCCACUUGCACACUAUACAUUAUUAUCAUUUAAUGUACAUUCACCACACUAGCAGCAGAGAAUUUUUUUUUACUAUAGACAUAGUAAGGUGAGAGGAUGAAGUAUGAUGAUGAGAUAAACAGAUUUUAGAUGUGACAGGGUAAUAGGAAAGUUACAAUAUAUUUAUUUUAAUGUUGUCUGAUUUUCUGAAACAAAGAAACUAUAAGCUAUAGAGGGUGUUUAUAAGAGUAGACUACAUCAUGUCUGUAAAUAUAAGCAUUUAUUUGAACAAAUGUACCAAUCCUUUGUAUCCAUUUCCUUUCAAGGAUAUGAUAGGGUGUAAUUUGAGGGAAAGUUGGGCAUCAUUACUAGCAGGGUGAGCAAUCAGAUUCCCCAUUCCUGAACUAAUAAACACACCCAUUCCUUCUUUCCUAAUCACUGGCUUUUCUCAUUUCUUUCCUGCAGGUGUUGUAUUUGAACUACUCAGGAGGGACAUUAAUGGCACAAAACUCACCUGCAAAGACACCAAGUCCUGCAUAUAUCUGAAGAUAAAGCAUCUAAAACAGAAAACCUCAUCAGCAUAUUGUUGCCUCUGUGGACAGCUAUUAUGGCUUGGAAGACCACAAUGAACGAGAAAGAAGGACUUACCACUAGUAGACCCCUACCUGUCUGCUAGGCUCAUUGUACAGAGAUUCAUUAAUGAAUCUCUGUACAUAGUUUCUAAAGGCCUCGAUACGCAUUUCCCAAACCUCUGGCUUUCUAAGCAACCAAUGGCCCACAGGAAAGCGGGGUCUUGUCAUCCAACCAAUGUAUAGACUUACAACUAGCUAAGUAUUUCUUCUGCUGUUAAUAACAAGAAAUAUGACUGCAGUGAUGUUU